rnacentral:rRNA from 1 species
GUGGGGAAUCUUGCGCAAUGGGCGAAAGCCUGACGCAGCGACGCCGCGUGGGCGAAGAAGGCCUUCGGGUUGUAAAGCCCUGUGGGGGAGAACGAACCGUACGGGGGCGAAUACCCUCCGUGCCUGACGGUACUCCUUUAGCAAGCAUCGGCUAACUCUGUGCCAGCAGCCGCGGUAAGACAGAGGAUGCAAACGUUGCUCGGAAUUACUGGGCGUAAAGCGCGUGUAGGCGGUCAGGUCAGUCGGACGUGAAAUCCCGGGGCUCAACCCCGGAAGUGCGCUCGAUACUGCCUGACUUGGGUUCUGAAGAGGAGAGCGGAAUUCCCGGUGUAGAGGUGAAAUUCGUAGAUAUCGGGAGGAACACCAGUGGCGAAGGCGGCUCUCUGGGCAGAUACCGACGCUGAGACGCGAAAGCGUGGGAAGCAAACAGGAUUAGAAACCCGGGUAGUCC